rnacentral:rRNA from 1 species
ACCCGCUGAACUUAAGCAUAUCAAUAAGCGGAGGAAAAGAAACCAACAGGGAUUGCCUCAGUAACGGCGAGUGAAGCGGCAAAAGCUCAGAUUUGAAAUCUGGCGUCUUAGGGCGUCCGAGUUGUAAUCUGUAGAGGGGUGUUCGAGUAUGGCUCUGGCUUAAGUUCCUUGGAAUAGGACGUCAUGGAGGGUGAGAAUCCCGUGAACAGCCUUCAGCUUAUGCUUAUGUGAACCUCCUUCAACGAGUCGAGUUGUUUGGGAAUGCAGCUCUAAAUGGGUGGUAAAUUUCAUCUAAAGCUAAAUACUGGCAGGAGACCGAUAGCGCACAAGUAGAGUGAUCGAAAGAUGAAAAGAACUUUGGAAAGAGAGUUAAAUAGUACGUGAAAUUGUUGAAAGGGAAGCACUUGCUCCCAGCCUUGCCUAUAGUUGAUCAACCGUCAUUCUUGAUGGUGCACUUAAUUAUAGGCAGGCCAGCAUCAGUCUAGACGGUGAGAAAAAGGUGAAAGGAAUGUAGCUCUCUUCGGGGAGUGUUAUAGCCUUCUACGUAAUAUCACCUGCCUGGACUGAGGCCCGCGCUUCGGCGAGGAUGCUGGCUUAAUGGUCGU